UGGGGAAUUUUGGACAAUGGCGGAAGCAUGCAUCAGCAAAUGCCGCGUGUGUGAAGAAGGCCUUCGGGUUGUAAAGCACUUUUGUCCGGAAAGAAAUCCUUGGCUCUAAUACAGUCGGGGGAUGACGGUACCGGAAGAAUAAGCACCGGCUAACUACGUGCCAGCAGCCGCGGUAAUACGUAGGGUGCAAGCGUUAAUCGGAAUUACUGGGCGUAAAGCGUGCGCAGGCGGUUUGCUAAGACCGAUGUGAAAUCCCCGGGCUCAACCUGGGAACUGCAUUGGUGACUGGCAGGCUAGAGUAUGGCAGAGGGGGGUAGAAUUCCACGUGUAGCAGUGAAAUGCGUAGAGAUGUGGAGGAAUACCGAUGGCGAAGGCAGCCCCCUGGGCCAAUACUGACGCUCAUGCACGAAAGCGUGGGGAGCAAACAGGAUUAGAUACCCUGGUAGUCCACGCCCUAAACGAUGUCAACUAGUUGUUGGGGAUUCAUUUCCUUAGUAACGUAGCUAACGCGUGAAGUUGACCGCCUGGGGAGUACGGUCGCAAGAUUAAAACUCAAAUGAAUUGACGGGGUCAUAGCUGUUUCCU
rnacentral:rRNA from 1 species